rnacentral:rRNA from 1 species
AGUGAACGCUGGCGGUAGGCCUAACACAUGCAAGUCGAACGGCAGCACAGUAAGAGCUUGCUCUUACGGGUGGCGAGUGGCGGACGGGUGAGGAAUACAUCGGAAUCUACUUUUUCGUGGGGGAUAACGUAGGGAAACUUACGCUAAUACCGCAUACGACCUACGGGUGAAAGCAGGGGAUCUUCGGACCUUGCGCGAUUGAAUGAGCCGAUGUCGGAUUUGCUAGUUGGCGGGGUAAAGGCCCACCAAGUCGACGAUCCGUAGCUGGUCUGAGAGGAUGAUCAGCCACACAGGAACUGAGACACGGUCCAGGCUCCUACGGGAGGCAGCAGACGGGAAUAUUGGACAAUGGGCGCAAGCCUGAUCCAGCCAUACCGCGUGGGUGAAGAAGGCCUUCGGGUCGUAAAGCCCUUUUGUUGGGAAAGAACAGCAGCAGGUUAAUACCCCGCUGUUCUGACGGUACCCAAAGAAUAAGCACCGGCUAACUUCGUG